rnacentral:rRNA from 1 species
CUCAAAGGAAUUGACGGGGGCCCGCACAAGCGGAGGAGCAUGUGGUUUAAUUCGAUGAUACGCGAGGAACCUUACCUGGGCUUAAAUGCUUAAUGACGUACUGGGAAACUGGUAUUUCUUCGGACAUUUUGCAAGGUGCUGCAUGGUUGUCGUCAGCUCGUGCCGUGAGGUGUCGGGUUAAGUCCCAUAACGAGCGCAACCCCUAUUGUUAGUUGCCAUCAGGUCAUGCUGGGGACUCUAACAAAACUGCCCGCGUAAGCGUGGAGGAAGGUGGGGAUGACGUCAAAUCAGCACGGCCCUUACGUCCAGGGCUACACACGUGCUACAAUGGCCGGUACAGAGGGCAGCCACUUGGUGACAAGGAGCAAAUCUCAAAAGCCGGUCUCAGUUCGGAUCGGAGUCUGCAACUCGACUCCGUGAAGUUGGAUUCGCUAGUAAUCGUAGAUCAGCAAUGCUACGGUGAAUACGUUCCCGGGCCUUGUACACACCGCCCGUCAACAAUGGAAGCUGGGGUACUAAAGUCCGUAACCGCAAGAGCGGCCUAGGGUAAACAAGUACUGGUGUAAGUCGUAACAAGGUACCCGUA